rnacentral:rRNA from 1 species
GACGAACGCUGGCGGCGUGCCUAAUACAUGCAAGUCGAGCGGACUUUCCGGAGUUCUUGCACUCCGGCGGGUUAGCGGCGGACGGGUGAGUAACACGUAGGCUACCUUCCCAUAAGACCGGGCUUACAUUCGGAAACGAAUGCUCAUACCGGAUAGACGGACCUCUCGCAUGGGGGGGUCGGGAAAGGCCGAGCAAUGUGCCGCUCGUGGCUUGUCCUGCGGCGCGUUAGGUGGUUGGUGGGGUAACGGCCUACCGGGGCGAGGAUGCGUAGCCGACCUGGGAGGGUGAUCGGCCACACUGGGAGUGAGACACGGCCCAGACGCCUACGGGAGGCAGCAGUAGGGAAUCGGCCGCAAAGGACGCAAGUCUUACGGAGCAGCGCCGCGUGAGUGAGGAAGGCCUUCGGGUCGUAAAGCUCGGUUGCCAGGGAAGAACGGGUAGGGGAGUAACUGCCCUUGCCAUGACGGUACCUGAGAAGAAAGCCCCGGCUAACUACGUG